GGAGAGAUGGCUCAGAGGUUAAGAGCACUGACUGCUCCUCCAGAAGACCUGGGUUCAAGUCCCGGUUCCUAUG
rnacentral:tRNA from 1 species